rnacentral:rRNA from 1 species
GAUUUCUGGUUUGACAUGCCUGGCCCGCCGGGGUCACCUGUGUGAGUGCCGGUGCGCGUCUACCAUCCUUCUGUAGAACGGCCUUACCCUUCACUGGGCCGAGGUCGCGAUACAGAUCUUUUACUUUGAAAAAAUUAGAGUGUUUCAAGCAGGCUUUAUGCUAUGAAUACAUUAGCAUGGAAUAAUAAUUUAGGACUUCGGUUCUAUUUUGUUGGUUUCUAGGACUGAAGUAAUGAUUGAUAGGGAUAGUUGGGGGUGCUAGUAUUCAGCGGCCAGAGGUGAAAUUCUCGGAUUCGCUGAAGACUAACUUAUGCGAAAGCAUU